CAGAAUAUAGUUUAAAAAAAAUUUUAACUUUGGAAGUUAUAGAUAGUUGAAAAAAUUUUUUCUGA
rnacentral:tRNA from 1 species